UAUCUCAUGAAUCUAUUUCUCUCUCUCUCUCACUCUUUCUCGUUCUCCCUCUUCUCAUCUUUAAACAUUUGUGCUUCAAUAUUUUCCAUCACUGGUUCAUACUGUCGAUGUAUUCACCGAAAUCUGCUGAUCAAUUGGGUGUUUAGAUGUCCAAAAUUGACCCACAAUUUGUCCACCUGUUACACAUGUCAACUUGGACCGUAUUUUUUGCCAUAUACCAUUCAUUAUAGAUACUUGUGGAGCUUACUGUUUCAUAGAUCACUUGGUAAUUAAAUAAAGAUUAGGUAAUUUCGAGUGUCAUAUUAAUUGCUGAAUUAUACUUCAGGCAAUGGCAAUAAACAACAUGCGUAAUAUUGAAUAACCUGGGAUAUCAGUUAAAAAUUGGUCAACUGCUUAUGAUAUACGAGCUUAGGAGGCAAAAGACGAUGUAUAUUUUGGUCGAUGAUGGAUGAAUUGAAUAACCAACUCUCGAUAACUUGAAAUUUAGAAGCUCAAAACUGGAAAGUCCAAUGGAAAGGGUGAAAAGACAAUAGUUAAGCGUAAUCAAACGCUUUGGAAAAUUUAUCAGUGAUGAAUUUAUUAUGAUGAAUUAGGUAAUCACAUUAGUCUUUGCUCUGUGAAUUUGUUUAAUAUGAUUAUUUUACAAACUGUGAUUAAAUAUUUUUACGUUCAAUUAACCUGGAAAAAGCCAAAGACUUAUGUGAUUACCUAAGAGAUAAUUUGAUUCAUUAAUGUAUAAUGAAACGAAAUUAAAAAACCUUACAAUUUUUUACUAAACGAAUUAUCAAAAGAAAAAUUAAUAGUUGAUAGAUUAAGACGCAUUUGAGGUAAAUUAAACAACCUACUUAAUCUU